UUCAUAAGGCCACAGCAGUGUGUGUGUAACUUGACUGCCUAGUGCUAACAUAAUUUAAAACAGAUUAAUUGCAGUUUUAUUCUGUGCUGCUGACUAGCUUACAGGGAAUCAAAGGUGACAUUUUCGAUAGGUAACAAGAAUACAAUGUAUACCCAAGAACCAAGAAAAAAUUUCUUAGAAUCUUCACAAAGGAUGGACAAGUCACCAUAAUUAAAGAGAACCAAAACCAGAGCCAGAUUAAUGUGGAGCAGGAUGGAAUGGACUUGUGAAUGAACACAUGUGAAGCUGAAACAUAGAUUGGAAACAAUCUGGUGAAAAAUGUACUUUGGCUUUUGUUAGAUCUUCCUACCUUAGGUUUUUCAGGGUAGACCCAUUGAAAUCAGUGGACAAGGUAGUGUAAUAUAGUAGAGCUUCACUGCAUUUACUCUGAAUAUAAUUUACUUGACUGUUUUAUUAGAUUUGUUUACCUAAUUUUUGUUUCUGACGUUCUCUGAAUAAUGCCGUAUGCCUAUGCCAGAGGCAGCCAACGCCAGAGGCAUCCAAUGCAGUGCAUUCCAGAUGUUUCUGAACUCCAGCUCCCAUAAUCUUUGACCACUGGCCAUGCUGGCUGAAGCUGAUGGGAGGUGUAGUCUCAUAACAUUUGGAUGGGAUCACAUUGGCUACUUCUGGCUUACCUUGCAUAAUUCCCAAAUUUCUUGCUAUGCUUCCUUCCUCAUCUUCUUCAAUAAAGUUUGUUUCGUUUUACUGGUUUGCAGCCCUGGUAGGAGCCUAUUAUGCUCUUUGCACCUCCCAUAUAUCUCAGGACUUCUCAGGUGCUAUCCUUUCUAACAAAGUCAAAGUGAUGAAUGCUGUCUGGUCAACUAGUUUAGAGCUUUGCCUCUCUCCGAGAUCAACUCCCACGCAGAUGGCAUAUUUUACAAAACAAGAUGAGUUACUCCUCAGUGGCUUGCACAAUAGAGUGAUGUCACCUUCAAAUUUAUUACCAAGUUGUUCACAACUUUAUUAUGUCUUUAUAAUUAAAGCGAGUAGUGGUAUACGCAUCAGAAGUACAAAAGAGAGCGUUCUGUCUUUGUUAAUUGACAGUUCUUCGGCAGUUCUUAUGGAAAAAUAGUUUUUAUGAUAACCAUUCUUUUUAACAGCUGUUUCCUCAUUUUGCACAUGUAAUCCUAAAAUCACUAGUACAAGAUUGUGCAAUUUAAACAGUAAUGAAAAUCUUGUAGCCAGCAUGGAUUAUAUUUGAAGACAAUCCCAUUCUACUCUUUGAGCUGACUAAUUUCACUGAAAAGGUCUUGUAAUGUGAUAUUUUGUAGAUGUAUUAAAAUUAUUAGGAAAAAAA